UUUAUACGGGACGAACAUUCCAAGGGAAUGCUAAUACCGGAUGUGACGCUCCUAUCGCAUGACGGGAGCGUGAAAGAUGGCCUCUACAUGUAAGCUAUCGCUAAAGGAUGGGCCUGCGUCUGAUUAGCUAGUUGGUAGUGUAACGGACAACCAAGGCGAUGAUCAGUAGCCGGUCUGAGAGGAUGAACGGCCACAUUGGGACUGAGACACGGCCCAG
rnacentral:rRNA from 1 species